rnacentral:rRNA from 1 species
GUAGUCCACGCCGUAAACUAUGGGUGCUAACUGUCGGGUCCUCAGGACUCGGUGGUGUAGCUAACGUGUUAAGCACCCCGCCUGGGGAGUACGGCCGCAAGGUUAAAACUCAAAGAAAUUGACGGGGGCCCGCACAAGCGGUGGAGUAUGUUGUUUAAUUCGACGCUACGCGAAGAACCUUACCUGGGCUUGUUAUCCGCGUUAUAUCUUGGUGAAAGCCGAGAGUCAUUUAGUUGGACGCGUGACAGGUGCUGCAUGGCUGUCGUCAGCUCGUGUCGUGAGAUGUUGGGUUAAGUCCCGCAACGAGCGCAACCCUCGUCCUUAGUUGCUAACAGGUUAAGCUGAGCACUCUAAGGAAACUGCCAGGGAUAACCUGGA